CCGGCGCACGGGUGAGUAACGCGUAUGCGACCUGCCCGUUGCAGGGGGAUAAUCGGGAGAAAUCCCGUCUAAUACCGCGUAACGCCGCGGGGCUGCAUGGCCCUGCGGCCAAAGGGAGCGAUUCCGGCAACGGAUGGGCAUGCGUGACAUUAGCUAGUUGGCGGGGCAACGGCCCACCAAGGCGACGAUGUCUAGGGGUUCUGAGAGGAAGGUCCCCCACAUUGGAACUGAGACACGGUCCAAACUCCUACGGAAGGCAGCAG
rnacentral:rRNA from 1 species